AGUGAACGCUGGCGGUAGGAUUAACACAUGCAAGUCGAACGGCAGCACAGUAAGAGCUUGCUCUUACGGGUGGCGAGUGGCGGACGGGUGAGGAAUACAUCGGAAUCUACUUUUUCGUGGGGGAUAACGUAGGGAAACUUACGCUAAUACCGCAUACGACCUACGGGUGAAAGCAGGGGAUCUUCGGACCUUGCGCGAUUGAAUGAGCCGAUGUCGGAUUAGCUAGUUGGCGGGGUAAAGGCCCACCAAGGCGACGAUCCGUAGCUGGUCUGAGAGGAUGAUCAGCCACACUGGAACUGAGACACGGUCCAGACUCCUACGGGAGGCAGCAGUGGGGAAUAUUGGACAAUGGGCGCAAGCCUGAUCCAGCCAUACCGCGUGGGUGAAGAAGGCCUUCGGGUUGUAAAGACCUUUUGUUGGGAAAGAAAAGCAGCAGGUUAAUACCCCGCUGUUCUGACGGUACCCAAAGAAUAAGCACCGGCUAACUUCGUG
rnacentral:rRNA from 1 species